GACUUAGGAUUUGAGCAUCUUUCUGUUAUGCUGUUGCCCCACUCCUAUUGCAAUACUCCCCUUCUUAAGAAAGUUUUUCUAGACUAAUGUCUAGAUUAAACUUCUUUUCUUUGACAAUAAUGAUGCCAUGACUUGGACAAAAUGCCCAUUGCCUCUGGGUCCUGCUUUCUUCACCCAGUGCUGCCUUAUUGGACUCCUUGUGCCUCUCCUUGGCUGGGGAAAUCAGAAUACACAGUGGUAUCCCACUUCUAAGAUGCCUGAUCUGAAGGACAGUAAAACAACUGACCUUUGCCAGCAUGUAAAACACAUGGUUUAACUAGUCCUCCAGGAACAACACUGAGCAAUCCUGACCUGGGACUACUUUACUCGGCCAUCUCCUACUUGAGAUGCUCCUUGUCUCUCUGUUCAAGGACACCUUUUCUGAGCCUUUCUUGAACAAGAGUGGAGGACCGAUAGGGCGAUUAAACUGUCCUUGACACAACUUUAGGUUGGUUUGCCUAAACUACUAGGUUCUCAAUCUAUAUGAACCUCCUCCAGCAUUCUAAUUUGUUUGCUCUGUCUUAGACCCAGAAUCCCACCCCAUGUGCCUAACCAUAGACCAAUCUUCCUGCCUUAACUUCUCUGCUACCAAUUUUGAUGUAGCCCAGUAAGUUUCAGCAUCAUCCCUCACCACCCCACAGUCCCUCACCCUGCCCCCACCCCCACCACACACACACAUACCAGCUCUUAGCAUCAAAUCCCCUUCCAUUUUCCAUAAGCAUCUCUUCCCAGGUCUCUGCAUAUAAAAGCUAUGUUUGCUCACCCCAUGCCUGAGACUUUCCUGGCUUAGAUCUUGAGCAUCUUUCUAUUAUAAGAUUCUCCCUUAGUAAUGAUUUCCUCACUUAACUUCAGAUUUGUACAUUUUUUUUUCAUUGACAGUGCAAAAGAUACCAUUUAGGAUUUGAUUUUCAGAAGGUAAAAUAUAAAACAUUGUCAGGAAAUUCGAAUACUUAAUUAAGUAGGAUAAUGGAUUACUGAGAAAUAGUACUUGGUUAUCUAUUUAAUCAAAUGAUGUAAAAUAAUUUUAGAGUAGAUAUAGGAGGUAACAUAAUUGCAAAGAACUUCAUCUCUUUUAUAUGAAGACUGUUCUCUUAAAUAAUCAAGGACUCGAAAAAGUCAGCACAAAGCAUGGAAAAUUAUUCUGAUGAGAUUCUGAAUGUUUAUCUUCUAAGAAGAUUACUCAGAAGAGCUUCAACUGAGAAUCUAGAAGAGAGUAGAUGGAAAAAUAUUUUUCCCUCCCCUCCAAAUGCAAGGAUAAUCUUACACGAGUCCAGGAGGAAGGUAAGUAACAUUAAAGAUACAAGAAGAUGAAUGGCUUCAGAUUUUGCCUUUUAGACUUUCAGAAGACAAAGGUUUAGAUGAAAAUCAACACAAAUCUAGGAUAAACAAAGCAAUUUCAAGGAGUGGUAAGUCCUAGAUAUGCUAAUUUUGGUCUCUGCAGGUCAUAGAAAACAGAAUUAAGACAUAGGGACUGAAAAAGAUUGUUACCUAAGUCCUUCACCUUUAAAAAUGAGAAGUAAUAAAUAAUUUAAAAUUCAAACUAAGUGGAACAUAAUUUUAAAAAAUGAACACUGUGACGAAAAAAUCAAGAGCAGUAAAGCAUCGGAAAAAAAGAAAAAAGAUUGGUCAGCUGAGCUAUUCAUUGUGAAAACCUUGAGGUACAACCAAAGAAUAUCCAAAAACAUUUCUGCCAUCAA
rnacentral:lncRNA from 1 species